rnacentral:rRNA from 1 species
CCUACGGGAGGCAGCAGUGGGGAAUUUUGGACAAUGGGCGAAAGCCUGAUCCAGCAAUGCCGCGUGCAGGAAGAAGGCCUUCGGGUUGUAAACUGCUUUUGUACGGAACGAAACGGUCUGCUUUAAUACAGUGGGCUAAUGACGGUACCGUAAGAAUAAGCACCGGCUAACUACGUGCCAGCAGCCGCGGUAAUACGUAGGGUGCGAGCGUUAAUCGGAAUUACUGGGCGUAAAGCGUGCGCAGGCGGUUAUAUAAGACAGUUGUGAAAUCCCCGGGCUCAACCUGGGAAUUGCAUCUGUGACUGUAUAGCUAGAGUACGGUAGAGGGGGAUGGAAUUCCGCGUGUAGCAGUGAAAUGCGUAGAUAUGCGGAGGAACACCGAUGGCGAAGGCAAUCCCCUGGACCUGUACUGACGCUCAUGCACGAAAGCGUGGGGAGCAAACAGGAUUAGAUACCCCGGUAGUCCACGCCCUAAACGAUGUCAACUGGUUGUUGGGUGCAUUAGUACUCAGUAACGAAGCUAACGCGUGAAGUUGACCGCCUGGGGAGUACGGCCGCAAGUUGAAACUUNAAAUUGAAAUUGACGG